CCUGAAGGGGUAUUCGCCCCCUUGGGAUUGGGCCGGGCCAAAUUCCUACGGGAGGCAGCAUUAGGGAUCUUCCACCAUGGACGAAAGUUCGAUGGAGCACUGCCGCUUGACUGAAGAAGGUUUCGGCUCGUAAAAUCUGUUGUUAAAGAAGAACAUAUCUGAGAGUAACUGUUCAGGUAUUGACGGUAUUUACCAGAAAGCCACGGCUAACUACGUGCCAGCAGCCGCGGUAAUACGUAGGUGGCAAGCGUUGUCCGGAUUUAUUGGGCGUAAAGCGAGCGCAGGCGGUCUCUUAAGUCUGAUGUGAAAGCCUUCGGCUCAACCGAAGAAGUGCAUCGGACACUGGGACACUUGAGUGCAGAAGAGGACAGUGGAACUCCAUGUGUAGCGGUGAAAUGCGUAGAUAUAUGGAAGAACACCAGUGGCGAAGGCGGCUGUCUGGUCUGUAACUGACGCUGAGGCUCGAAAGUAUGGGUAGCAAACAGGAUUAGAUACCCUGGUAGUCCAUACCGUAAACGAUGAAUGCUAAGUGUUGGAGGGUUUCCGCCCUUCAGUGCUGCAGCUAACGCAUUAAGCAUUCCGCCUGGGGAGUACGGCCGCAAGGCUGAAACUCAAAGGAAUUGACGGGGGCCCGCACAAGCGGUGGAGCAUGUGGUUUAAUUCGAAGCUACGCGAAGAACCUUACCAGGUCUUGACAUACUAUGCAAAUCUAAGAGAUUAGACGUUCCCUUCGGGGACAUGGAUACAGGUGGUGCAUGGUUGUCGUCAGCUCGUGUCGUGAGAUGUUGGGUUAAGUCCCGCAACGAGCGCAACCCUUAUUAUCAGUUGCCAGCAUUAAGUUGGGCACUCUGGUGAGACUGCCGGUGACAAACCGGAGGAAGGUGGGGAUGACGUCAAAUCAUCAUGCCCCUUAUGACCUGGGCUACACACGUGCUACAAUGGAUGGUACAACGAGUUGCGAACUCGCGAGAGUAAGCUAAUCUCUUAAAGCCAUUCUCAGUUCGGAUUGUAGGCUGCAACUCGCCUACAUGAAGUCGGAAUCGCUAGUAAUCGCGGAUCAGCAUGCCGCGGUGAAUACGUUCCCGGGCCUUGUACACACCGCCCGUCACACCAUGAGAGUUUGUAACACCCAAAGUCGGUGGGGUAACCUUUUAGGAACCAGCCGCCUUAAAGUUGUACA
rnacentral:rRNA from 1 species